AUGAAAAUUCUUGCAGUCGAUAUCUUAAAAUCCAUACAUCAUGUAUAAAGCAGAUAGUACAGAAGUGAUUCAAACAAUGACCACACUGUGGCAUCCUAGCAUCAUGCAAGAUGCAGGAAAAUCACACCUAGGUGGUAGUGGAUGCUGGGGAGAGACAUCAAGUUCAGGUAGAAGUAAUUGCACUUGUUUGAUGGUGGAUAAGUGUUUCACUUUUUUUCCAUGUUCAGACCUCUUUUUAAUUUUAGUCUUUCAUAUCUGCCAAUUUUUGCCAGUGGUCUGAAGAAGAAGGACUCCCCAUUUCCUCUGAAACACUAUCCUGUUCAGCCUAUCAUUUAUCUGCGACUUUUGGGGGAUGUUUCAGAAGCCUCCAGAGGGAAGGAAGAGCUACAGGAGUUAGCAGAACAGGAAGCUUGUAUAUAUUUUAGACAAACAAUAUAUUUGUAAGGAAUCCACAAUGACAGAGGAGUGUGGGCUACAAGACAUCAGUGGUGAAGAAGCGACUAGGAAGAUAAAGACUGGUUGAACAUGGUUUGCUUAAACAGACUGCUCAGUCUCAAAUUCCCUGUCUUUGGGGAUAAGAAGGUCUUCUUUUCUUCCAGUACAGGAAGCUUAUCUUUCACAUCGUACAAAGCAAACAUUAGUUUUCAGAAAGAAUACAGUCUGAAUUUAUCUGGAAGGAGGGAAUGUUUUUAUCCCCCAAUGGCUCAUAUUUAUCCAGGUACUUUGCUAAGAGUGAUCAGAAAAUUCUUGUUACUUCUUGAAUUUAUGGCCAAAGAAAGGAGAAGAAUUUUUGCCUCUGAUAAUAUUUUGCAGAGUUUGUAAGACACAGAGGACUGUACUCCUUUGAGUCUCCAACUUUUAACAAACCCAUGUCUGAGCACAGCUAAUGAUAAAUUAAUUUACUUUGUCCAGAGUGUGUCUGAGUUUCCUGCAGCAUCAGGAGAGGGAGAGACAGACACCAUGAUUCCUACCAAGAUGGCUACUGCUCUUGCUGUCAAUGGCUUUGCUGGCCUUGGGCUCUGCUCAGGGCAUCAGUGACGAUGAUGAAUUCUUGAAAGAAACCCCAGAGGAAUCACAAGUGAAAUCUCAAGAAGAAAAUGGAGUUGAGAACAGCAAGCCAGACAAAGAUGGUCCAGGUGGCCCACAGAGACCAGCAGGCCAACAAGUUCCAGGUGGUCAACAGCAACCAGGAGCCCAAAGUGGUCCAGGUGGCCCACAGGGUCCAGCAGGCCAACAAGGCCCAGGUGGCCAACAGCGUCCAGGAGCCCAAGGUGGUCCAGGUGGCCCACAGCGUCCAGCAGGCCAACAGGACCCAGGUGGCCAACAGCGUCCAGGAGCCCAAGGUGGUCCAGGUGGUCCACAGCGUCCAGCAGGCCAACAGCGUCCAGGAGCCCAAGGUGGUCCAGGUGGCCCUCAAAGUCCAGCAGGCCAACAGGGCCCAGGUGGCCAACAGCGUCCAGGAGCCCAUGGUGGUCCAGUUGGCCCACAGCGUCCAGCAGGCCAACAGGGUCCAGGUGGCCAACAGCGUCCAGGAGCCCAAGGUGGUCCAGGUGGCCCACAGGGUUCAGUGGGCCAACAGGGUCCAGGAGGUCAACAGGGUCCAGGAGCCCAAGGUGGUCCAGGUGGCCCACAGGGUCCAGCGGGCCAACAGGGUCCAGGUGGCCAACAGCGUCCAGGAGCCCAAGGUGGUCCAAGUGGCCCACAGGGUCCAGCAGGCCAACAGGGUCCAGGUGGCCAGCAGCAUCCAGGAGCCCAGGGAGUUCCAGGUGGCCCACAGGGUUCUGGCAGGGCAACAUGGCCCAAGUGGCCAACAGGGCUCAGGUGGUCAAGGUAGUCCAGGGUGGCCAGCGUGAUCAGCGUGGUGGCCAGUAACAAGGAAAACCAAGUAAAGAGGACCUCCUGUGAUUUCCUAGGUAUCGAUUCUAUUCUUACUCAAUAAUCUAGGGAAUUUCUUUUGAUGUUUCCUAAUUCUCUAUUCUUGUUUCUGUUUUUUCUUACCUAUUUUCUUUUACAUUUUUUAAAUUUAAAUUCAGUUUGCCAACAUAUAGUAUAAUACCUUGACUUCAAUCUGUCUUAAGCUCUUGUCCUUGCUGUGAUUCUCCUUGCUUCAAGCUAACCCAUAGAAAAAUCUCUUCCAUUAUAAGAGCAAAUGUUCUUUCCUCCAGAGUAUGUUUGUUGUUUGUUUGUUUGCUUGUUUUUGACUCUAUUUCUUAUGUUAGCCUAUAACCUUCCCAUGUUCUAUCUCCUUUGUCAUCUACCACUUCUCUUCCCUUUACUCUCUCCUGGGCUGUUCCUCUGACAUUCCUCUUUUUUUCUCUCUUAAUAUGAUGUCUUGUAAUGUCCUCUAGUACCCACUAGGAGAAACACUGACAGAGAUCAUUUCCAGGCCUAAUUAAUAUUUCUGUCUAAAGUUUUUCUCUUUGUUUUAGAAAUUGAGAGAGAUCAACUGGUGACCAUGGAUUUUUCAGUCGUGUCCACGUGGCCUUCCUUCCUCUGACUUCAAAUUAUCAAUAAAGUCAUCAGCAUUAAAGCCCUGGCUCUUAUUUUCCUUCUAAGUCAUGGUUCUUAGUCAGUGGAUGAGAAGGACUGGUUGAAAGAUACAAAGCCCUGAAGGACUUCAAAUUUGUGUGCUGUGCAGAUUGACCUCACUCCGAUUUUAAUAAUUUUGUGGGGACUUCACUCCCACCAAUAUUACAAAGCAGAAACAUUUUAUUCUUGAGACUAGUAAGGGAGUUUGCAAGUUCAGACGACCAAUGUACACAUCCUUUUCUUAGCUUAGACAUAGAGGGAAUUACCUCGUAAACUCAUCUGACUUCUGGUAGUCCUUCCAACUAUGGGAGCUGUAUUAUGAGGUGAGAGUGUGUACAAAGGAAACCCUGGGCAGUGUUGGUGGGAAUGCACGCUGGCACAGCCACUAUAAAAAAUAGCAUAGAGGUUCCUAAAAUAAUUACAAAUACAACUACAAUGCAAUCCAGUAUUUUCUUUUUGGGUAUUUAUCCAAAGAAAAUGAAAACUCUAUUUUGCAAAGAUACAUGCACCCCUAAUGUACACUGUGUAAUUAUUUACGAGAGACUAGCUAUGGAAGCAGCCUCGUGUCCAAGGGUAGAUGAAUGGAUAUAGAAGAUGUGGUGUGUAUACACAAUGGAAUGUUCCUUAAUUGUAAAAAGGAAGGAAAUCUUUCCAUUUGCAACAAUACAGAUGGAUCGAGAGUGUACAAUGCUGAAUGAAAUAAGUCAAGUAGAGACAAAUAAAUACUAUAGGAUUUCAUACAUAUGUGGAAUCCAAAAACCAGAACGAACCAACCAAACAGAACAGAACUAAAUAUCCAGUGCCUGUCAGAAGGCAAGGUGUGGAAGAAUGGUUAAAUGGGAUCAAAAGGCAUGUGAAAAGGUGCAAGAAUACAUUUGUAACAUAAAUAAGGCACAGGGACACAAGAAAUACACAAGGAACGCAGGAAAGCAGUUAAUAAUAUGCAACCAUUUUGUUUGCUGUAGAUGGUAGCUCGAUUUUUCUUGGUGAACCUUCACAAUGUAUAGAUAUGUUGAAUCACCAUGUUGUACACUUGAAACUAAUGUAAUAAUGUAGGUCAAGUAUGGUUUAAUCCAGGACCCAAAGAUCAUGACCUGAGCCACAAGCAGACACUUUGCCAACUGAAUCAUCCAAGAACUCCUGUAAAAGUUAUUUUUAAUCUUCCUUUGAAUAUACGUACACUUAACACCAAACAAAAGUCCUCUCCAUUUUCAAAAAGCAGCUUCUCUCUCCAUAACUAAACAGGGUUUGUCAUUUAUUGAAUGAGAAAUCAAAAUGUCCUUUUAUAACAUGUCAAAGAAUGUUUAUAAUGAUAUUCAAUAAUCCAAAAUUUUCUACCUAAAUGUCACUUUCUCCUGCCAGAAAUCCAAAGUAACGUUCUUCAUAAGGGGCUGGGAGACCAUUUAUUAUGCAAGAAAACUAUAUGCCGCAUACCUUGUACCCAACCACAAUAUUCUCUCACCUUCUUUCCUUCAGCCACAUCACACUCUACAGUUUGUCCAUCUCCUACACUGUGCAGAUAUUUCCAUGACUUUUUCUUUUUGAUGGCAGUCUGUCAACAGAACAGAGAUUUGUAAGUGAAGCAACAUCAAUACUGGCCACAGAUUUCACCUUUCAAGUUUAUCUCCUAUAUUACUACUUUUUUACAUUAUCAUUCUCCCAGUAACCAGGAUCUCCAAUACAAUAACAAAAUAAACAACCAACAAAACCACUGUAAAUCAGAUUUCCACAUUAUUUUCUUGAUUCACGCUACCUUUGGUAAUUCUUGAUAGGUGGAUUAAAUAGAAUGUUUAGUUACUACAUACUGUCGCUACAGCCUGAUGAUGAUAUGGGAUGGUAGUAGUUCCCUCAAGCUAUUCAGCAGCUACGAUUCUGACUGUACCUCCACACUGGUGGGGCAGGGGUGAAAUCUACCAAGUCCACAUUUCACCUAGAGAAGUUUCUAUAGAAAAAAGAAACUGCUACCCUCAAAAAGGAAUUGUAAACUCUGUGUAGGAGAGGAGGGAUGAUGAAGAAUGGAAAAAGGAAUUUAAGAAUACCAGUGGAUUAAGUAUUUCUGAUGGGAAUACACAAGAUUACCUCAGGAACGAAACAUUACUAAUAGCCAUAAUGUGGCCUCUUCCGUCCUAUUCCUCCAUUUUAAGGAUAAGUUAAUAUGAGGCUCGUAAGUGAUUUACCUGAAGACCUAAAGGUACAGCCUGGAAGUACAGGGGGAGUAUGUAGGGGAAAUUCACAUCCCUGCACUGUAUGUAUGACUAUUUCUGCAAUAGUGGCCCCAUCACACCAUUCUCAUCUACUCACCCCUACACAUUCCGUGAUGAUGCAUUAAAAGGUUGAGGACAGAUACUAGGCUGCAUGAGACACCUGCACCUGAAAACACCAGGGGAAGGCACAGAAUAGUUUUUGCAAUGAAUUUCCGUUCCUUUCCUUGGUCUCUCUAAACAGUUAAAGGGGGUCAGAUUUUCUGUAGAACUAGGUCAACUUUAUUUUAUAAAGCAAUCAGGCAUGUGACCAUGAAAAGCUGUGAAAAUAUUCAAGGUUAAAGAAGGCUGAAGAAACAUGACAGCCAAAAUACAGUACUAGAAAGGAUCUGUGUUCUGUAGGAGAAAAACAUGCUUCACAAUCAUGGAUUAGGGGUAGCCUGGGUGGCUCAGCGGUUUAGCACCGCCUUUAGCCCAGAGCCUGAUCCUGGAGACCUGGGAUCGAGUCCCACGUCAGGCUCCGUGCAUGGAGCCUGCUUCUCCCUCUGCCUAUGUCUCUGCCUCUCUCUCUCUCUCUCUCUCUCUCUUUCUCUCUCUCUCUGUGCCUCAUGGAUAAAUAAGUAAAAUCUUAAAAAAUAAAAUAAAAUCAUGGAUUCGCAAUUAGGGAAUUCAGGCUGUAGAAUGUGAAAGUAUCAUAUGAAUGUUAAAUAUACUGAAGUUGUACAUAACUCCUGGUUGCCUAAGAGAGUAUCACCACUCUUAGGGAAUACACACUGAAAAGUUAGGGGUAAAAGGACAUGAUUUG
rnacentral:lncRNA from 1 species